UGUUUAUAGCAUACGCUUAUUACAUCUUCUGCUCAGAAACUCGGUUAAAAACGAGAUAAAUUGAGGUAAGCUUUGUGGGAGUUAAACGAAACAGAUAGAACAUACAUAAAUAUAAGUAUUAUUAAUUAAAGAAAGAAAAAAGUACGAGAAGAUCAGUUACAAGCACAGAUCUUAUAAUUAUCAUUAAUAGGCAUUAUUCCGUGCAGCAUGUGCCACAUGUAUCGUAUGCAUUUGUGACGAUAAUCGGCACAAUAAAUUUAUCCAAACUUAUCUGUAAUAGUAAAAGAAAAAUAUUUUGUACGACCGAGCUACAUGACAACGAGAGCUUUCCUGAAAAGAUAUAUGAUGUAAUUCUGAGGACUUUGUAACUUCCAAGAGACAAAGGAGAUAAAACAAGAAAAGAAGAAUACAUAGAAUUACAUAUAAAAAUACUUUCUGUUCAUAUACUAUUUAUGAAUUCUUUUGCAUAUAAAUGUACUUACUAAUUAUAAUACAAUAACGCAAGAGAAGAAAAGUGAUCCCACUGAAAAGCAAGAGGAGCUAUUACAAGAUAAAAAAUUGACAAAAUUUAUUAAGAUACAUUAAAAUGGAUAACACAGAUUCAUUUAUUGAAAAGGAUUUCUCAAUCUCGGAUGUAAUGGUCGAUGCACAGACGUACAAUUUACCUCAUCCAGAAUCCAUGUUUAAGGAAUCGCCAUGGCAAUUGGACAAUCUGCAAAGGCUGAAAAACAAUCUUAAUGAAGUGAAAAGUCGCUUAAACAACUACAGUCUACUGGAAUGGAAUCAGCACACAAGUCAAAUGAAUGAGGCGAGUGAUAUCGUCAACUUUGUAAAAAAAAAUAUAAAGGCAGAACUCGUGACUCAAGCCUGGUGUAAAUUUUACGAAAUUAUUUCUAAAAAUUAUGUCUUUCGUGGUUUGGUCUACAAAACGAGCACUGUUCCUAUGUUUAACGUAAAAAAUGACUCUUUGAUAUCUUUCCUUGAUUUAAUGCGAAAUAAUACGAAUUUCGAAGUAGAAUUCAACAUACCUAUGAAAAGUUUCACUUCCGUGCAUCUGUGUGAAGCACCAGGUGCCUUUGUGGCUGCUCUAAACCAUUGGUUCAAAACAAACAAACCCAGUGUGCAAUGGGAUUGGCUGGCUACCACCUUGAAUCCUUAUUACGAGGGAAAUUCGUAUGACACAAUGAUCGCGGACGAUAGAUUAAUUAGGCAUACUUUGAAACAGUGGUGUUUUGGCGCGAACAACACGGGCGAUAUUAUGGACCUGGAAAAUCUGGAUGCUCUAGUGGAAAGAUCCAAAUCCUUCUCAGAGAAAUCAAUCAGGCUGAUCACUGCAGACGGCAGUAUAGAUUGUACAAAUGUGCCGGCAGAACAGGAGAGCACUGUGGCGCAGUUGCACUUCUGCGAGACGGUGGCUUGCUUGCAUCUCUUGAACCAAGGCGGCACCUUUAUAUUGAAAGUCUUCACCUUGUUCGAGCAUCAAUCCGUAUGUUUAAUGUAUCUACUGGCUUGCGUCUUCGAUCAAGUUAUCGUAACGAAACCAAUGUCUAGCAAAGCAGGAAAUUCGGAGAGAUAUGUUGUCUGCAAGAGUUUUAAGGAUAGAAGUUACAUCGCUCCGUACUUAAAUAUUCUCAGGCAACACUACGGCAAAGUAUCGCCUGCGAAAGCAAUGUUCAAUUUGCGGGAUAUUCCACGCAGAUUUUUACAGAAAAUUGAGGAUUGCAAUAAAUUCUUCAAUCGCCAUCAGUGCCAAGUCAUAAACUACAAUAUAAAAACGUAUGAAAAAAAACUACCCAUGUACGACCAUCUACAGCAGGAAUGUAAACGUAAAGAACUCUCUGCGUAUUAUAUCAACCGUUAUAAAUUGAAAAAAAUAAAAUCUAGAGAUCAGAUAGUUGGCCGGAAGAUAAUGGAGAUUAAUAAUUGCUUUAGAAAUGAAUUGCAUUCGAUUCAUCUCAAAAAGGUUGAUUCUUACAACGAGCGUUUGACGUGUGACGUUAAACCACAAACACUUUUAUAUCGUUAUUUCAAAGACGCGAAAGAGAUCAAGUUACCAAUAACAGAUUCUUACAACUGGAAUCUGCAAAUAUUGCCAGAAAGUUUAGAGAUACAGAUAGGAAAACCAUUUAACAAAGUACGCAGCUCGUACUUUUGCAAUGUGAAAAUUUUGCAAAUGUUAAACGGAAUUGAUGACAUAAUGCAGCAUAUGCAUCUUGCCGCCUGCUUUUCACCUGCAGAAAUUACGACAGAGGUUGCGCGACAAAUGAGUGUCAGACACGAGAUCCUGAAUUUGGAAUUCAAUUGCGAUAGUCAUCGAAUGAUUGUCGAAAUUUGCGAUCGAUUGGAGAAGCUCGAAAUCGGACAGACGCUCAUUCUUAUUGGCUACUCUUUAUUAACGCAGUUUAACAUCGCUCUUUUAUGUCUUCUGGAAAAUACCUUUAAUGUGACUACUAUAGAGAUUCAACAUUACAGAGGCUAUUACAUCGAAUUGAAAGCAUAUCAGCACAAUGAAAAAGUAUUGAAUCAUUUGUAUGAGAUUCUCACCGCGUCACAUCAAGCACGCGAAAAGAAUAUGGCAAUCUGGUCGAUAAUGCCUAUAACAAAUUUAUAUGAAUGUGACCAGGUUCCCAUGAUAAUGCAACUUAAUCAUCUGAUGAUCAAACUGUACACAGGCCACGUUUCUUACAAAUUUUUGACACAAAAUAAAGAAGACAGCGACGAACAUAAAAGCAUAGAUAAUGAGGGCGUUGUGUAUAAGCACGAUGUUUAGGUCAGUCGAUUAAUAAGUAAUGUCGUGUUUUUAAGUAUUCAGAAACUAUUGAAUAGAUGAAUAAUUAACGUGAUCUUUUAUCGUCUUAAGCGAAAUUUAAGAAAAUAUUAUUUAGUGUUAUUGUUAUAUAAUAAGAACGAGGAACAUUUAUGUCAUUGCUUAUUCUAUUAAAUUUAAUUAAUUAAUUUUAAUUCUGUGUGAGUAUAUAACACAAUAACGGUUAGAUUACUGUAAGUUUAAUAGUAACCUUUUAUAGUAAGAAGCAAAAAAUUAUAAUUUUUAUCUUGCAUUAUAUGUAUAUAAUACUUUUAUAUAUUUAGCGUGCUCAAACACAGAAGCGGUAACUUUUUUAGGCAAUCAUGAGAGCAGUCGUAGUUUGUACGCUAUUCCAGGAUUAGAUUAUGUUGCUCAUGAAGAUGUAUUGUUGCCAUAUACUACAAAUGAGAAAGCAGCAUUGCAACACGAAUUGUUCGAUAAAUUUUUGACCUAUCAUCCAGACAAGGAACCAUGUUUUGUAGCAUAAGAGAUCUUCCGAGCAUGGCAGAAAAAAAAUCAUCCAUGGCUUGAAUUAUCGGAAGUACAUAAAGAAACAACAGAGAAUGUUCGCAUUUCAUAUAUUAGACAAUACUAAUGUGCUUUUUGUCAGAUAUAACAAUAACACUAAAUAAUAUUUUCUUAAAUUUCGCUUAAGACGAUAAAAGAAAUACAUCUGCAUCGAACUGAAGAAUUAUAACUAAUAUGUAUGAUAUAAACAUGUUAGAACACUAAUAUAAAAUAAGAGAAAUACGACAUUACUUAUCGAACAACCUAAUAUAACGCCUAACAUUGUACAAAUGUAAAUAUACUUAACAAUUCUACUAUUGAUAAUACGAAUAAUAUUUAAGCUUUAAUAUACUAAUAACAUAUACAAUGGGAUGUCAUAAAUGGGAAACAUUACGGAAGAAGGACACAAAAGAGAAAUGAUCAAGGUACUUGUGGGUUGCGUUUGUUUUUUGUGAUCACGAACAACUGGGAUAACUUUUACUUGGAUGAAAUUUAGAAUCAAUGUUUAAUGCAUGGAACGGUGACUAAGAUUUUAUUCCACACAAAGAAGUUUUUUUAUUCACACGAAUUAGAAAACGGCGUUGUGAGAGGCCUCGGCGAACUCUUUUUAAAGCGACUAUUACGACUGUGUUAAACUCAGUGCCACGUUUUAGAUCAUUGCCGUACAUGG